CGCGGCGUGUUGGAGGCGGAAAACACGUCGGACGCUGUGCAGGGGGAUCAGCUUGCUCCUGCACGGGUCGUGCCUUUUGGAUCGAAAAGUUCAGGCAGAAAACCUUCAGUUUCAAUUCUUCUUUGUAUCUCACGAUGUUGUAUGCCUAUGACUGUACCUCAUAAUCUGGUGUCUGGUUAAGUAAUGCUUCUCUGUAGAGAAUUUUUACUUCUCGCCCCUCCACAGGGUUGUUUGGUUGUUGGGAUCAUAUCUUUGGUUUGCUGACGUCCUCUCUUGGGUGAGUAGGUAUUAAUUCUGCUCAUCUCUCAAAAAAAUCAUGCAACAGACAAAAUGAAUGAUUUCCAGAAAAACUUGGUCCACCCUUCUUAAUAAUGAAACUUGGGGCCUUUCUAUAUGUUUUCCAUUUUGGAAAGCAAGGAAAACUAAUAGUCAAAACUAAUGAAAAGAAAUCUACCUCAGCAUCGUGGGUCUGUGCAUUGUGUCCAUCCUUUGCAUAAUAAAAGGCAUUCUUAGAAAUUUCUGUAAA